rnacentral:rRNA from 1 species
CCGCGGUAUUUUGACCGUGCAAAGGUAGCGCAAUCACUUGUCUUUUAAAUGAAGACCUGUAUGAAUGGCAUCACGAGGGCUUAGCUGUCUCCUUUUUCAAGUCAAUGAAAUUGAUCUCCCCGUGCAGAAGCGGGGAUAAUAAUAUAAGACGAGAAGACCCUAUGGAGCUUUAGACCUAAUGCAGUCCACGAAUAAUACUUUUGAUGAAGAAAGAAAAGCUCAAUGGCUCCUGCACGCCUGUCUUUGGUUGGGGCGACCGCGGGGAAAAAUAAAACCCCCAUGAGGAUUGAGAGUUCUACUCCUAAAACCAAGAGCCACAGCUCUAAGUAACAGAAAUUCUGACCUAAAUGAUCCGGGAAACCGAUCAACGAACCGAGUUACCCUAGGGAUAACAGCGCAAUCCCCUUCCAGAGCCCAUAUCGACAAGGGGGUUUACGACCUCGAUGUUGGAUCAGGACAUCCUAAUGGUGCAGCCGCUAUUAAGGGUUCGUUUGUUCAACGAUUAAAGUCCUACGUGAUCUGAGUUCAAACCGG